AUUGAACGCUGGCGGCAGGCCUAACACAUGCAAGUCGAGCGGAUGAAGGGAGCUUGCUCCUGGAUUCAGCGGCGGACGGGUGAGUAAUGCCUAGGAAUCUGCCUGGUAGUGGGGAUAACGUUCGGGAACGGGCGCUAAUACCGCAAACGUCCCGGGGGAGAGAGUGGGGGGUUUUUGGACCUCACGCUAUCAGAUGAAGCUAGGUCGGGUUAGCUAGUUGGUGGGGUAAAGGGCCACCAAGGCGACGAUCCGUAACUGGUCUGAGAGGAUGAUCAGUCACACUGGAACUGAGACACGGUCCAGACUCCUACGGGAGGCAGCAGUGGGGAAUAUUGGACAAUGGGCGAAAGCCUGAUCCAGCCAUGCCGCGUGUGUGAAGAAGGUCUUCGGAUUGUAAAGCACUUUAAGUUGGGAGGAAGGGCAGUAAGUUAAUACCUUGCUGUUUUGACGUUACCAACAGAAUAAGCACCGGCUAACUUCGUG
rnacentral:rRNA from 1 species